CUAGGAACAUCUGUAUUUAACAAUGUCCAAAGUUCAGGAAAGUACAGAGGGAAAAAGUGAGAAGGACAACUUACUACAAAUAAAAUGGUAAGUGAAUCGCUUUUAUUUGUUUUCUAUAGCUGAUGCCUUAGGAAGUUGAACAAGAAACUGUACACCGGUUGGAUAAUUAAAAUGGCACAUUGGCAGAAGAUGGUUUCCCUUGUGUCUGAUACAUAGCAUUUAUGAAUGAAAGUGCUCAGCAUCCCAGUGGUUCUCCUUUUGAACUAGCUCAUCCAUUACUAGGGUAAUGAUUUUCCGUCUGGGCAACAGCAAAGCCAAAGGCCUAUUACACAGGCAACAUAAAGUUAAAAAGACAUUAUGAAUAAAACGUUGGCUCAUUCCGGCUUUUGCCAACCCUUCUCCAGAGAAGAUUGCCCGAUGCUGACACGUGUUUAUUACACUUAAUAAUGUUUACAUAAUUCUUCUUUGAGCUCAUUAGAGCUGUCAGAUCAGAAGUAAAUGUAUUCCCCCCUCUGUUUAUCUCUAAAGACUUCACAGUCAAUAAAGCAAGAUUAAUGACAUCCAGGGUGCAGACAAGUACACUUGAGCUUUGCAAACACUGCCAAGUUAAACCCUCAGCCAGGGUGGGCUCGUGGGUCUCAGGACUGAGGGAGCAUGCAUCUCAUCAGCCACUUAGUUCUCUCAGCAGUGUCUCUCCAAUUUUAUUGUGCUUGGAGUCUCCCUGAGAGCUUCUUAAAGUACACGAUGCUAGGCUCCAUCCCCAGGGAUUUAGGUUCAUUAGAUCUGGAGUAGGGCCCAGAAAUGUGCAUUUCUAGCAAGCCCCCAGGUGAUGCUGAUGCUGCAGGUGCAUGGAACACAGAGUAGUCCUUUUCUGGAGUUCAUUUCCAAUGGUCUUUUUUGUUGGAGAGGAGGGCGGCUGUACCCCUCGGCAAUUUGGGACAUCCUAGCUGGCCUGUGGCAUGCAUCAGCCACAGCGGUGAAGACGGCAGGGGCAGCAACCAGAGCAGCAGCAGUGGCAGCAGUGGCAGCAGUAGCAGCCGCGGCCGUCGCCUCCGGCUCAGCUCACGCGGAAACCCCACUGGGCCAUCGUGGCUCUGCGCGGUUGCGGGCCGGCGUGGAGAGGCGGGACGUGGCGCCCGGGGGCGGGGCCUGGCGCCCGGGGGCGGGGCGCAGCGAGCCGGGCUCCUGCUGUCUGCUCUCGGCGGCGGCGGCAGGGGCUGAGGGCACAGCCAGCGGGCGGCGCGCCGCGGACUCCCAGGCAGCCCGCCGAAAGAAAAAUAAAUGCCAAUUGGGCUGA
rnacentral:lncRNA from 1 species